rnacentral:rRNA from 1 species
UACGUAGGGGGCGAGCGUUGUCCGGAAUCAUUGGGCGUAAAGCGCGUGUAGGCGGCCCGGUAAGUCCGCUGUGAAAGUCCAGGGCUCAACCCUGGGAUGCCGGUGGAUACUGUCGGGCUAGAGUCCGGAAGAGGCGAGUGGAAUUCCUGGUGUAGCGGUGGAAUGCGCAGAUAUCAGGAGGAACACCAAUAGCGAAGGCAGCUCGCUGGGACGGUAUUGACGCUAAGGCGCGAAAGCGUGGGGAGCAAACAGG